rnacentral:rRNA from 1 species
AGCAGUGGGGAAUAUUGGACAAUGGGCGAAAGCCUGAUCCAGCCAUGCCGCGUGUGUGAAGAAGGUCUUCGGAUUGUAAAGCACUUUAAGUUGGGAGGAAGGGCAUUAACCUAAUACGUUAGUGUUUUGACGUUACCGACAGAAUAAGCACCGGCUAACUCUGUGCCAGCAGCCGCGGUAAUACAGAGGGUGCAAGCGUUAAUCGGAAUUACUGGGCGUAAAGCGCGCGUAGGUGGUUUGUUAAGUUGGAUGUGAAAUCCCCGGGCUCAACCUGGGAACUGCAUUCAAAACUGACUGACUAGAGUAUGGUAGAGGGUGGUGGAGUUUCCUGUGUAGCGGUGAAAUGCGUAGAUAUAGGAAGGAACACCAGUGGCGAAAGCGACCACCUGGACUAAUACUGACACUGAG